rnacentral:sRNA from 1 species
CACUUCAUGAUUCCUCGCAAGCUGGGCCCAGUCCUCUCAUCCCAAGAGCAGAGCCACCGUAGCCGGAGUCCUAGCCUCCCAAAUUCGGAAAUCCAAUCCAACGGUCUCAGGAAUGUUUUCCAUCCCGCCACGCGCCUCCCGAAGCUCCCAGACCGGAGGCUCAGCCCCCAUCUCGUAAAGCACUGCCUCCCUAGACCAAUUCUCUGGGAUCCCUGGAAGACAUCUGGCAUCCAGCAAGUCUUGACCCCUCUUUAGAAAGCCAUGGAGAAACUGGAGGUAAAAUACCUGUUUUCUGACAAGACUAGGACUCUUACAUAGACUGCCAUGAACUACAAGAAGUAUAGCAUUGCUCAAAUAACCUGUGGUUAGAGUUACUUGUUAUUGGUAAAUAGCCACUGUGGAGACUAAGGACCAAAAGAAACACAGAAAGAAAUUUUACAGAAGAAAAACAGUGGGCCCAAAGCUGAAAAGAAAAAGAAGCAGCAUCUGCAGGAUCUCCAGCUAGGGGAUGAAGAAGAUGCCCGGAAGAGAAAUCCCAAAGCUUUUGCAAUUCAGUCUGCUGUGGGGAUGGCUUGAUCCUUUCACAGGACUCAGGAUUUGAAGACAAAAAAGCAUCAUAUUCCAGUGGUUGAUCAAACUCCACUAGAGCCGCCACCAAUAGUGAUAGUGGUGACGGGGCCUCCAAAAGUUGGAAAGAGCACUUUGAUAUAAUGCCUCAUUGGGAACUUCACCCGGCAGAAGUUGACCGAGAUCAGAGGCCCUGUGAUGAUUGUGUCAGGUAAAAAGCUCCGACUCACCAUUAUUGAAUGUGGGUGUGACAUUAACAUGAUCUAUCUGGCUGAAGUAGCAGAUCUGGUUGCCAAGCUGUUCUACCUUUCUGGAAUGGUGCAUGGAGAAUAUCAAGACCAAGAAAUCCACAAUCUGGGCCAUUUUAUUACAGUUAUGAAGUUUAGGCCUCUCACAUGGCAGACUUCUCAUCCUUAUAUCCUGGCAGACAGGAUGGAAGAUUUGACAAACCCAGAGGAUAUCUGAACAAAAUGUGACUGGCAGGUGUCACUUUAUGGUUAUUUAAGAGGCGCACACUUGAAAAAUAAAAGCCAAAUUCACAUGCCAGGUAUCUACUGAGCGUUUCAGUCAACAAUACAGCUCGUGUUCGACAAUAUUCCUUGAUGACAGCACAGCCAGCCAGCAUUAUCUUAUAAUGACAAUAAUAUCAGAUGCAGAUAGAUCUUUGACCAUACUUGAUGAACAGUUAUACUCAUUUGCGUUUUCCACCGUGCACAUUAUGAAGAAAAGAAAUGGAGGUGGGAGUUUAAAUAACUAUUCCUCCUCCAUUCCAUCGACUCCCAGCACCAGCCAGGAGGACCUUUAUUUCAGUGUUCCUCCCACUGCCAACACACCCACGCCCAUUUGCAAGCAGUCCAUGGGCUGGUCCAACUUGUUUACAUCUGAGAAAGGGAGUGACCCAGACAAAGAGAGGAAAGCCCUGGAGAGUCACGCUGACACCAUCGGGAGCAGCACAGCCAUCCCCAUUAAACAGGGCAUGCUCUUAAAGCGAAGUGGGAAAUGGCUGAAGACAUGGAAAAAGAAAUAUGUCACCCUGUGUUCCAAUGGCGUGCUCACCUAUUAUUCAAGCUUAGGUGAUUAUAUGAAGAAUAUUCAUAAAAAAGAGAUUGACCUUCAGACAUCUACCAUCAAAGUCCCAGGAAAGUGGCCAUCCCUAGCCACAUCGGCCUGCGCACCCAUCUCCAGCUCUAAAAGCAAUGGCCUAUCCAAGGACAUGGACACCGGGCUGGGUGACUCCAUAUGCUUCAGCCCCAGUAUCUCCAGCACCACCAGCCCCAAGCUCAACCCGCCCCCCUCUCCUCAUGCCAAUAAAAAGAAACACCUAAAGAAGAAAAGCACCAACAACUUUAUGAUUGUGUCUGCCACUGGCCAAACGUGGCACUUUGAAGCCACGACGUAUGAGGAGCGGGAUGCCUGGGUCCAAGCCAUCCAGAGCCAGAUCCUGACCAGCCUGCAGUCAUGCAAGAGCAGUAAAAGCAAGUCCCAGCUGACCAGCCAGAGUGAGGCCAUGGCCCUGCAGUCGAUCCAAAACAUGCGUGGGAACUCCCACUGUGUGGACUGUGAGACCCAGAAUCCUAAGUGGGCCAGUUUGAACUUGGGAGUCCUCAUGUGUAUUGAAUGCUCAGGAAUCCACCGCAGUCUUGGCACCCGCCUUUCCCGUGUGCGAUCUCUGGAGCUGGAUGACUGGCCAGUUGAGCUCAGGAAGGUUAUGUCAUCUAUUGGCAAUGACCUAGCCAACAGCAUCUGGGAAGGGAGCAGCCAGGGGCAGACGAAACCCUCAAUAGAGUCGACGAGGGAAGAGAAGGAACGGUGGAUCCGUUCCAAAUAUGAGCAUAAGCUCUUUCUGGCCCCACUACCCUGCACUGAGCUGUCCCUGGGCCAGCACCUGCUGCAGGCCACCGCUGAUGAGGACCUGCGGACAGCCAUCCUGCUGCUGGCACAUGGCUCCCGUGAGGAGGUGAACGAGACCUGUGGGGAGGGAGACGGCUGCAUGCGCUCCAUCUGGCCUGCCGCAAGGGGAAUGUGGUCCUGGCGCAGCUCCUGAUCUGGUACGGGGUGGACGUCAUGGCCCGAGAUGCCCACGGGAACACAGCGCUGACCUACGCCCGGCAGGCCUCCAGCCAGGAGUGCAUCAACGUGCUUCUGCAGUACGGCUGCCCCAACGAGUGCGUGUAGUAUCUGUUUUAUUUGACUGCAGUCUCCUUGGUGCAAAAACAAAAUGGGAAAAAUAAGGAUAACUCAGAAUUUCAAAAGGAAAUCACAAAUUCAGCUAAUAAUAGCAUUUUCAGUACUUUUCGUAAACUAAGUAAAUACACAAAAUGUUGAUUUUUCUGACCAUAAGACAUAUUUUAUGUCCUUUUGCCGAGGUGGGUGUGUUAGUCUCAGGCCCUCCUGGC